CCCCGGGCCGCGGGAAGGGUGGUCUUUCCCCCAGAGUUGCCGCCGGAGGACGAAAGUUUUUGCAAGCAGCCCUGCCUGCGCGUGCCCCCUCUCCCCGGGUCCCUGUCGCCCACGGUGAGGCGCCCCUGCGGGAGCCGGAGGCCUGUUGGGGAGAAGCCGAGCAGGUUUGCCCCCCCUGCCCCACCCCGAGCCGGGGCGGAGGAGACGCUGGUGACCUCGCCUCCCCCCCCUCACCCUCUGCACCCCCUUUUCUCUUUCUUGGUGGACCUUGGACCGUGGAGAUUCUGCGGAUGCGCUGGGAGCUGACAGCAGUGAGUAAAUGUGGAUGUGCAAAGCAGCGCCCGUCCAGUUCCCGCCUCUGCUGUCCCCAGACAGUGCGCUUGACAUUUCCGUCCAUCCAUGCAUCUUAAGUCCACCACCACUGCCUGUCACGGAGCAGCUGCCCUCAGGAGAGGAGGUCAGGGGAGACCCGUUCCGGCCCUCACGGAGAUGCGGUGUGGUGGUCUCUGGAAGAAGGAAGGUGUGAAACAUCCACUCCCUGGGAAAACAGGACACACGCACAGGAACUGGCCUGCGCAGACGUCUCCUGAUGGAGACUGGGCCACGUCAGGAAGAUCGUCUAACCGAGCCUCCCUUCGUGGCCGUAGAGCACGAUGGUGACGGCCAUCUUGGAUCUUGGCGAAGCUUCCCCUGAGAUAAUGAAUGCCUAACCCUCAUCAACUACUUUGCCAUUGUGGGCUUCCUUGCUCACACAGACAUCUAGCAAGAAAGCAUGGUGGGGGCUGUGAGAUCCAUCAUCACCGCCAAAAUACCCAAGGUCUUUUUACUUUCAAUAUCUGAAGACCCAAAUUAUGUUAUUGGAUGAAUGGUAUUUGUAGAGUCAAAGAGAAGGGCUGGGGUGCAAAAUGGAACAUCUUCUAUUCAUUCAAGAAGGAUUUACCAACCUCAGGUGGAAAAGAAAAAUUCUGGACACAUUAUAUGUCUCAAUUUUGCAAAGGCAUUUCGCAAAGUCGCUAAUGACAUCUGUUGGAGGCUGAGUGGUGUCCCCCAAAGACAUUCAGGCUGUAAUCCCUGAAAUCUAUGAAUGUUACCUUAUAUGGUAAAGCCUUUGCAGAGGUGAUUAAGUUAAGGACCUUGAGUUGGAGGGAUUAUCCUGGAUCAUCCAGUCGGGCCCUAAAUGCCGUCACACGUAUCCUUAUACAAGAAACAGGCAGAGAGAGAUUUUAUAAUGACACACGCAGAGAAGGCAAUGUAAAGAUGGGGCAGAGGAAGAGUUAGAGAUGUUGGCCUUGGAGAUUGGAGUGAUGCAGCCAUAAGCCGAGGAAUGCCGGCGGCCGGCAGAAGCACGGAACAGAUUCUCCCCUAGAGCUUCUGGAGGGAUCCUGGCCUUUGGGACAUCUUGAUUUCAGCCCAGUGAAACUUCUCCAGAACUGUGAGAGAAUAAUUUGUGUUGUUUUAAGCCUCCAAACUGGAAAUUUGUUAUAGUAGUCUCAGGACCAUCUUUGCAAAUAAAAUGGAGACACAGGUCCAGGAGACAGUGUGGGUAGGUGGAGUCUCAGCUAUCUGACCAGCUUGAUCUAUUUAUUUAGUCACUCGGAAAAUAUUUAUGGAGUGACUACAGUGUUCCGGGCACAGGAGCAGUGAAUAAGGCAACAUUCCCACUGACACUGGGGUGGAGGAGGGAGCAGCUGAUAAACAGAUGGGGGUGUUAUUCCUGAGGGGCGGCUGCCAGGGCUGGAGGCCGCCCUGCUCUGGAGGUGCUCUGUUUGCAGUGUGGGCAGACUUGACCUGAGUGAAGGCCGCAGAAAUGUCUCGAGUUAGAGCCUCAUGCUGGUGUCAGCUACACCAGGGCUUCUCGAACUUCAGCCUGUGUGUGAAUCACCUGGAGCACUUGUCAGAACACAGAGUGCUGGGCCUCACCUCCCAGGUUUCUGACUGAGUGAGUCUGGGCUGGGCCUGAGAGUUUGCACUUGUAACAAGACCCCAGGUGAUAUGGGUGCUGCUGGCUGGGAGAUCACACUUGGAGAGGUCUACUCAAGGUCUACCCCAUUGUUAACUCUAGAACUCUUCCUCUCUAGUUCGUCUGUAAAGCUGUGCCCUGAAGAACUUCAGAUUUGAGAGAAGAGUGAAUGGAAAUCAAAAGCUGGAAACCACCCAAAUGUCCAUUAACUGAUGAAUGGGUAAACAAAUUGUGGUAUAUUAUGAUGGAAUAUUUAGUCAUAAAAAGGAAUGAAGUCCUAAUACACCUGUAACAAGGACGAAUCUUGAAAACAUUAGGCUAACCUAAAGUAGCCAUUUACAAAAGGCCACAUACUGUGUGAGUCCAUGUAUAUGACAUGUCCAGAAUAGGUAAAUUCACAGACAGAAAGCAGAUUGAUGGUUGCCAGGAACUGAGGAAGAAGGAGGGCUGGGGAGUGACUGAUUGUUGGAUUUCCUUUUGGAAUGAUAAAAAAGUUCUAGAACUAGAUAGCAGUGAUGGUUGCAAAACACUGUGAAUGUUUAUACUUAGUACCACUGAAUUGUACAUUUAAAAUGGUUAAUUUUGUGUUGUAUGUAUUUUACCACAAUAAAAAAUUAAGAGUGAACGGAGCUUUGUUCUAACUAAAUUGCGAUGCCAGUUGAAAGGUUUACAGGAUGAAAGGCGGAAAGGCAAAGGGCCUCUAAACCUGUGGCUUUCAGUCCUGAUUGAGCAAAGAAUCAUUUGCAAAGAUUUAAACCAUACCCUUGUCUUAGCUAC